ensembl:lncRNA
CAUUGAUUUGUUGCUGUUUGUUGGUUAUGCCAUGUUCAGGCCUGUUCUAAUUCUUGUGUUCAAUUGUUCUACUGACAUUGAAGGCAUUCAUACCUCAUCAUUGACGGGAGGCAUAAACCAACAUCAACACUCUCAAAACCAGACCGGCCUGAUGAAUAUAUUGCUACUGCAUCUCCACGGCCAGUAAGGGUUCCUUUGCCAGUACCUUCAGAGUUGCCUGAAUUAUCUACUAGCAAGACCACAUCCCCUUUGAGACCAGUGCAGGAAACCAUGUUCUGUCAAUCCCUCCUCCCAGUGACCUCUGCACAGUCUACAACCUCUACUCCUCUACUGCCAAGCUAUGAGCAGGAUGUGA